GACGAACGCUGGCGGCGUGCUUAACACAUGCAAGUCGAACGGAAAGGCCCUCACCUUGGUGGGGGUGCUCGAGUGGCGAACGGGUGAGUAACACGUGGGUGAUCUGCCCUGUACUUCGGGAUAAGCUUGGGAAACUGGGUCUAAUACCGGAUAGGACCAUGGUUUAGUGUCUCAUGGUGGAAAAAUUAUUGUUUUGGUGCAGGAUGAGCUCGCGGCCUAUCAGCUUGUUGGUGGGGUAAUGGCCUACCAAGGCGUCGACGGGUAGCCGGCCUGAGAGGGUGGACGGCCACAUUGGGACUGAGAUACGGCCCAGACUCCUACGGGAGGCAGCAGUGGGGAAUAUUGCACAAUGGGCGCAAGCCUGAUGCAGCGACGCCGCGUGGGGGAUGACGGCCUUCGGGUUGUAAACUCCUUUCGUUAGGGACGAAGCCACACUUUUUUUGGGUGUGGUGACGGUACCUUUGUUAAGAAGCACCGGCUAACUACGUGCCAGCAGCCGCGGUAAUACGUAGGGUGCGAGCGUUGUCCGGAAUUACUGGGCGUAAAGAGCUCGUAGGUGGUUUGUUGCGUCGUCUGUGAAAUUCCGGGGCUUAACUUCGGGGUGGCAGGCGAUACGGGCAUAACUAGAGUGCUGUAGGGGAGACUGGAAUUCCUGGUGUAGCGGUGGAAUGCGCAGAUAUCAGGAGGAACACCGAUGGCGAAGGCAGGUCUCUGGGCAGUAACUGACGCUGAGGAGCGAAAGCAUGGGGAGCGAACAGGAUUAGAUACCCUGGUAGUCCAUGCUGUAAACGGUGGGCGUUAGGUGUGGGGACCGGUUUGGUUUCUGUGCCGUAGCUAACGCAUUAAGCGCCCCGCCUGGGGAGUACGGCCGCAAGGCUAAAACUCAAAGGAAUUGACGGGGGCCCGCACAAGCGGCGGAGCAUGUGGAUUAAUUCGAUGCAACGCGAAGAACCUUACCUGGGUUUGACAUGCACCAGACGGUUGUAGAGAUACGUACCUCCCUUUGUGGUUGGUGUGCAGGUGGUGCAUGGUUGUCGUCAGCUCGUGUCGUGAGAUGUUGGGUUAAGUCCCGCAACGAGCGCAACCCUUGUCUUAUGUUGCCAGCACGUUUGGGUGGGGACUCAUGAGAGACUGCCGGGGUUAACUCGGAGGAAGGUGGGGAUGACGUCAAAUCAUCAUGCCCUUUAUGCCCAGGGCUUCACACAUGCUACAAUGGUUAGUACAACGCGCGGCGAGCCUGUGAGGGUGAGCGAAUCGCUGAAAGCUAAUCUCAGUUCGGAUUGGGGUCUGCAACUCGACCCCAUGAAGUCGGAGUCGCUAGUAAUCGCAGAUCAGCAAUGCUGCGGUGAAUACGUUCCCGGGCCU
rnacentral:rRNA from 1 species